rnacentral:lncRNA from 1 species
CUAAAGCUGCUGAGAUCAAAUUCAUGGCAAUCAAGAUGAUCUUCCUAGUACUGGACAUGAUGUCAUUGCUACCAUACCCUGACACUGGCCACAGACGUGGGUCGCUUCUGUGUCUUACAACCUUGGGUUUCCGCUGGUGGAGAUGCGCAAUUAAUUGGUUCCAACAUCCACGAAGCCUCUUGCACUUUCCACUUAUAAUUCCUUUUCCCUUUUUUCUUUCUCUGCUCUCUCAAGUUGCUUUUCAAACCUACUCUCCCUUAUGUCCAUGCAUAAAAUAAAAACCAUCAAAAUG